rnacentral:tRNA from 5 species
CGGCGUGUGGGCAAGUCUGGUAAGUCACUCCGUUCGGGUCGGAGGGAUCGGAGGUUCGAAUCCUCCCUCGCCGACCA